rnacentral:lncRNA from 1 species
AUGAAUAAUUUAGACAGAUACAGGUUAUCUCUGUGCAUAGCUCCACAUGUACUGUGGGGUCAGACUCCGAGAGAUUCAUUAUUUGGGAGUGACGUCUUAAGAAAGAAGUCUCUUAUACAAAUCAUGAUUGACAACUAUGAUCAAAUAUUUGGAAAUGAUGAUACAUUUAGUAAACACAUUGACAAAAGGUCUGAAGACUUAAACACAUACAAAGAAUCACUAAAUUAUUCUGGAAAAUCUCCUAUCAUGACAAAAGCCAUAGCUGGACACAACUGGAAAACCAAUGAUAUUGAUGAAAAAUUUAAUAUUUCAUAUGCUGCACUGCAGGAAGAAGGUCCUACAGGUAAGACAAGAUUUAUUUAUUCAUCAAAUGAAUGGAAUAAUUUGAUCAAAUCAUUUCAUGAUGUCAUAAAUUUGUGUAUAUCAGAGAAGCUUUGGGACACAAAAUGAUUAUUAGAGUAUGGG